rnacentral:lncRNA from 1 species
GGGGAAUAGAGGCCAGCUCUGGAAACAGAGCUGUGUUCCCAUGGUCCCAAAGAAAAAACUUGCCCUAAAUUUUAGGUGACAUUGAGGAAGGGACCAGACAACUCAUGUGCUGGUCACACACCAAACCCCACCUGGGGCCUCCACUCAGCAUCCUUGGGGAAUUCUGGGCCCCUUGACCCUUCAGCAGAUUGCUGAGAUCAGAUAGUGUGCUGGGAUGCAGGGAUGGGAGCCUGUGAUAUGUAUGGAGACCACUCUGGGUUUGUGCUACAGAAAGACGAAGCUGGCGAAGCAGGAUGCAGGUAGAUGGCUUCUCUUUCUGCAGCUCUGUGUCUCAUCUCUGCAAUGGGAAGGAAGAGUCCUUCCUGGGGCCCCGGAGCACACCUGCCUCAGCACCCGUCUUGAGCAGGGCUCUUCUGAGGCUGAGUCCUGGAUGAAUAGUCUAGGGCAAGAGGAUCAAAGAUACUCCAGGGUAACUGGGCUCAAGGGGUCGACUGAUGCUAACUCACAAGAGUUAAGAAUUGCCCUGGAACAAUUUACAGAGCAGCGGUUCCUUUUCCGUGGAUGGAGACUUCUCUCUGCUCCUUGGAGCUCCUUCUUGUUCCAGGAUGAUAUGGAAAGUGAUUCAUCAGGCCCAAGCCCAUGCUGGAUAAACCUCAACAACCGCUUGCUUCUGGGGCUCCUGCCACCCAUAGACCUUGCCCUGAGCUUGUGCUUCAGAGAGCCCCAGUCCAGCCCUCCUCCUGUGUGUGACUUUAAAAAACAAAAUAUGUACAUGCAUGGCUGAUUCAUGUCAAUAUAUAGCAAAAACCACUAUAAUAUUAUAAAGUAACUAGCCUCCAA